GAUGAACGCUGGCGGCGUGCCUAAUACAUGCAAGUCGAGCGAACAGACGAGGAGCUUGCUCCUUCGACGUUAGCGGCGGACGGGUGAGUAACACGUAGGUAACCUACCUAUAAGACUGGGAUAACUUCGGGAAACCGGAGCUAAUACCGGAGAAUAUUUCGAACCGCAUGGUUCGAUAGUGAAAGAUGGCUUUGCUGUCACUUAUAGCUGGACCUGCGCCGUAUUAGAUGGUUGGUAAGGUAACGGCUUACCAAGGCAACGAUACGUAGCCGACCUGAGAGGGUGAUAGGCCACACUGGAGCUGAGCCACGGUCCAGACUCCUACGGGAGGCAGCAGUAGGGAAUCUUACGCAGUGGGGGAAAGCAUGACGGAGCAACGCCGAGUGAGUGAUGAAGGUCUUCGGAUCGUAAAACUCUGUUAUUAGGGAAGAACAAACGUGUAAGUAACUGUGCACGUCUUGACGGUACCUAAUCAGAAAGCCACGGCUAACUACGUG
rnacentral:rRNA from 1 species